GAGACAUUCCUUAACAGAACUGUUACCUGGCUCUCUCCAUCUUUCUUAGUGGAGAUGUGAGCUCCAGGCUUCGAGCCUGGGAAUAUCCCGGCACCCUGCAGAUCUUCAUCCACUAAGCACCAGGCCCUACCACUCUGUAGCCAUAAACUAAGGAGAGAAAGGCCGAGAAGGAGGUGGGGAGACUGUAGUGGAUGAACAAUCCAGAAGGGAGAGAAAGAAUGUUCAUCACUGUCAAAGAGGCGUCAGCACAUCUGCAGGAAGACACAAGGCACUUGAUGUUUCCACGAACACCGUUGCCUCUUGUCUGAUCAAACCAUCAAGAUUCUACUUUGGGGGCCGGGGUGCCUACAGGACUGACUUAAACGCUGAACACGUCAGGCCAUCUAAACAGCGAACACAGGAACUUGCAGUGACAGCUUGUAAAACGAUGGCUACCUGGGGACGCUAGCCUGGAACCCAUUAAUUCCAGUGUGAAGACGAGCCCAGCACCGCAGUACGAGCCGAGGCCUUCACGCUGUGCUGAUGCAUGGCAUUGCCCUUGCCACGAGCCUGGGUACUUGUGAAGUGGCCUCUCCUGCUGAUGUCGGUUGACUACCUUGCGGACAGCGGGAACCCCAUCCAGCCAGAGGCAGCAGAUCUUUCUAACUCCCCCAUACCAAGCUCCCCCACUCUGUGACCCCCCAAAACCUUCAUAGGGGUUAGGGUAGGACAGGGGAAAGGGGUGUUUAAUAACAACUCAAUAAAAGAUUCUGUACUUGCUUUCCUUACUUGA